rnacentral:sRNA from 1 species
CCAUCUCUUGUUCUUGCUCAGCUUCCAGUGUGUGGAUAGAAACACGAUCAUUUCAAGCUUUCUGCUCGUGCUGUUAUAUUUUGCCUUCCUCACCAUUAUUAAAGGCUCUAGGCCUCUGGUACUGUGAGCUAAAAUAAGCCUUCCCUUCUUUUGGGCAUUGUUAUUUUCUCACAGCAACAGAAAAAUAAGCAAUACAAACAUUGAGGCAAACUCCAAGGAAUGAAGCCUACUUGACAGAGGCAAUUGAAGGCUAGGACCACAAACCUCUGGGUCUGAGCUGAAGAUGAUAAAGGAGAACACCAAGGCUACCACACUAGUCCUACAUGGCAGGAAAGGACCAGUCUCAGAGCACAGUAGGAUAGACCUUACAGCUGAGCCUGGCAGAAGUCACAGAAGCAUCAAGAAGCCAGAAGGCAACCUCGCUACGGCAAGAAAUGAGGCUGGGGCAGUGGGAUCUGGGAUUGUUAAAUAUUAAAACUUGACAAUAGUUCUGCCAUAUUCCCUCAACCUUCAUUUUGUGGCUCAUGACCUUAACUUGACCUAUUGUUCCUUGCUCUGACAAAACCAACUUAUUUUUGUACUUUGUCACAGAGCCUCGGGGACUUUGGAGAUCCCAUAGCCUCCUUGCUUCUAGGCACAGCCUAUCAGCUUAAAGGUCAGACAGCGCUGCUUUGUCUAGACAGUCUGUAUGUUGUAAAUGUUGCAAAUGCACCUGUUUGUUGUUUUUCCCAUGUAAAAACUGGUUCCGAUGACUGCCUAUAGUUGCCUAUAGAUCCCGACUCUUGGUCGUGUCCCUGAUUAAUGUGUUGGAGUACGUGUUCAAUAAACCAUCAAUAAC